UUUCAAAAGAACUUCUUUAACUUCUAACAAGUCAUAAUUCAGAAUGGAAGAGUGAAACUAUGAGUAGAAUCAAACAGAAUGCAGAUGAAAUCCUGGUAUUAUUUUUUGUCUUAAAAUUAUGAAAGUUCUAAAGAGGUUAGGAAAAUGAAUGUGAUGCUGUAUGUAACCGUCAUUGGCUUAGAGUGUGAUUCAGCAGAAUUUAGACUCAAUGAAAAGAGGGCUUAGGGAAUUUAGAUUUUUCAUUUUAUGUCAAGGCAGAUGAAGUAAUUUGUCUUUGCUGUUGGCUAGCACAAUCAGUAUUAGUGAAAUCAAGUCAGCAGUUUUAGAGUUUGUGCUAAAAAAGAUGUUCUAAUGAGGAUGUUGAGAAAUUUUUAAUUGGUUUAACUUUUGUGGGGUUUGUAAGUGUCAGCUGGGUAAUUGUGCGUUGUCUGUAUGUGUAGAAUUCCCCUUACUCCGUCUAUUAUGUAAAACGAAUCUGUUAAAGGGUUCCCUUAGAGCCCUGCCUGAUCUUGGCGAGCCUCAGCUCACUAACGAAGAACGCCUGUCUGAGGAUGAGGACUUUGAGAAAGCUAAGACUCCAGAGAGCUGAAAGCUCCUUCUAGGCCUUAACGUGACACUGAAAGACUGCCUGGCGGGCACAGGACGGCGAAUCUGCUGGCGGGAGGUCUGAUGUUCGCCCACAUCAGACAGUUUCCAGUGCUGCAGAAUACUCGGCCCUGUCAGUCAGGUAGGUGCUGGGAAGAGGAGUGCAAAGGUUGGAGUUUUAAAUAGAAAAACACAUAAGCUAGAUCUGCUAAAAAGUAAGUAUCAUCCA